ensembl:lncRNA
AGCGUCUCCGAUGCGUCACGUCACGCAGACGACAAACAACCAGGUUCAGAGGAAACUUCGUUAACGUGAAGGAGAUCACUUCACUCACAGGUGGCCGCCCACAUGAAGAGGGUCCAGACCCCCUGGAAGGGGACCGGGGUGCUCCGGAAGUCCACCGUGAGCCCUCUGCAGUGACUUUCUCGUGUAACAAAGGAGCGUUGUGCGUUUCAUAACACAACACAUCUUCUGUGUGGUCUAUUUUAAUUUGGACCUUUCAUUCUGGCCUUUCUCUGUUCUCAGAGGGAACAAAUUGUCUUCCCACAAUCCUCGAGUCUCACACUCCUGUAGCUGCUAUUCGCCCGAGUGUUGGAGCUGUGGGUGGAGAGAGGAAGUCCAGAAGAAGGGACGCUAAUGGGAACAUUUCAGUGUGAAGAUCGCAAACUGUCGUCUCACUUAAAUGCGCUGAUUCGCUUUCUUUCUUUUCGCUCCUCCUGAGAGUUGGAUGAGGAGCGACGCGAAGCUCAGCACGAAGAAGAAAGACUCACGGCAGGAAAACGCUCUGCUGCAUGUUUGUGAAUCAAG